rnacentral:rRNA from 1 species
UACGAAGGGUGCAAGCGUUACUCGGAAUUACUGGGCGUAAAGCGUGCGUAGGUGGUUUGUUAAGUCUGAUGUGAAAGCCCUGGGCUCAACCUGGGAAUUGCAUUGGAUACUGGCAGGCUAGAGUGCGGUAGAGGAUGGCGGAAUUCCCGGUGUAGAGGUGAAAUUCGUAGAUAUCGGGAGGAACACCGGUGGCGAAGGCGGCGAUCUGGGUAGAUACUGACGCUGAGGUGCGAAAGCGUGGGGAGCAAACAGG